rnacentral:tRNA from 1 species
UUCCUGGUAGCUUCAAUGGUAGAGCGCCCGGCUGUUAACCGGAUGGUUGUAGGUUCGAGUCCUACUCAGGGAGCCA